ACUAGGUGGUCACCAGCUUUACCCUAACACAAGCAAAGACUUGCCUUCUGAAAGCAGUAAGUGCUAUUUGUUGGGGUAGUGUUGCUGA
rnacentral:pre_miRNA from 1 species